GGACGGGUGAGUAAUGUCUGGGAAACUGCCUGAUGGAGGGGGAGUAACUACUGGAAACGGUAGCUAAUACCGCAUAACGUCGCAAGACCAAAGAGGAGGACCUUCGGGCCUCUUGCCAUCGGAUGUGCCCAGAUGGGAUUAGCUAGUAGGUGGGGUAACGGCUCACCUAGGCGACGAUCCCUAGCUGGUCUGAGAGGAUGACCAGCCACACUGGAACUGAGACACGGUCCAGACUCCUACGGGAGGCAGCAUG
rnacentral:rRNA from 1 species